AGAGUUUGAUCAUGGCUCAGAUUGAACGCUGGCGGCAUGCCUAACACAUGCAAGUCGAACGGCAGCACAGAGGAGCUUGCUCCUUGGGUGGCGAGUGGCGGACGGGUGAGUAAUGCAUCGGGACCUACCCAGACGUGGGGGAUAACGUAGGGAAACUUACGCUAAUACCGCAUACGUCCUACGGGAGAAAGCGGGGGAUCUUCGGACCUCGCGCGGUUGGACGGACCGAUGUGCGAUUAGCUAGUUGGUAAGGUAAUGGCUUACCAAGGCGACGAUCGCUAGCUGGUCUGAGAGGAUGAUCAGCCACACUGGGACUGAGACACGGCCCAGACUCCUACGGGAGGCAGCAGUGGGGAAUAUUGGACAAUGGGCGCAAGCCUGAUCCAGCAAUGCCGCGUGUGUGAAGAAGGCCCUCGGGUUGUAAAGCACUUUUAUCAGGAACGAAAUACCAUGGGUUAAUACCCGAUGGGGCUGACGGUACCUGAGGAAUAAGCACCGGCUAACUUCGUGCCAGCAGCCGCGGUAAUAC
rnacentral:rRNA from 1 species